rnacentral:sRNA from 1 species
AUGUACCACUCGUACACUCCGGUUCCUGUGCGCCGCCCGCACCCGCCUGACGACUGCUCGCCAUCUCAAAGAAAGUGUCCC